rnacentral:rRNA from 1 species
UACGGGGGGGGCAAGCGUUGUUCGGAUUCAUUGGGCGUAAAGGGUGUGUAGGUGGCGCCGUAAGUCGGGUGUGAAAUUUCGGAGCUUAACUCCGAAACUGCAUUCGAUACUGCGGUGCUUGAGGACUGGAGAGGAGACUGGAAUUCAUGGUGUAGCAGUGAAAUGCGUAGAGAUCAUGAGGAAGACCAGUGGCGAAGGCGGGUCUCUGGACAAUUCCUGACGCUGAGGCGCGAAAGCGUGGGGAGCAAACGGG